rnacentral:rRNA from 1 species
GGGGAAUAUUGGACAAUGGGCGAAAGCCUGAUCCAGCAAUGCCGCGUGAGUGAUGAAGGCCUUAGGGUUGUAAAGCUCUUUUACCCGGGAUGAUAAUGACAGUACCGGGAGAAUAAGCUCCGGCUAACUCUGUGCCAGCAGCCGCGGUAAUACAGAGGUCCCAAGCGUUGUUCGGAUUCACUGGGCGUAAAGGGUGCGCAGGUGGGUUUGCAAGUUCGAUGUGAAAGCCCCGGGCUUAACCCGGGAAUGGCAUUGGAUACUGCAGAUCUGGAGGAUCGGAGGGGGGACUGGAAUUCUUGGUGUAGCAGUGAAAUGCGUAGAUAUCAAGAGGAACACCAGUGGCGAAGGCGAGUCCCUGGACGAUACCUGACACUGAGGCACGAAAGCUAGGGGAGCAAA